GACGAACGCUGGCGGCGUGCUUAACACAUGCAAGUCGAACGGAAAGGCCCUGCUUUUGUGGGGUGCUCGAGUGGCGAACGGGUGAGUAACACGUGAGUAACCUGCCCUUGACUUUGGGAUAACUUCAGGAAACUGGGGCUAAUACCGGAUAGGAGCUCCUGCUGCAUGGUGGGGGUUGGAAAGUUUCGGCGGUUGGGGAUGGACGCGCGGCUUAUCAGCUUGUUGGUGGGGUAGUGGCUUACCAAGGCUUUGACGGGUAGCCGUCCUGAGAGGGGGACCGGCCACAUUGGGACUGAGAUACGGCCCAGACUGCUACGGGAGGCAGCAGUGGGGAAUAUUGCACAAUGGGCGGAAGCCUGAUGCAGCAACGCCGCGUGCGGGAUGACGGCCUUCGGGUUGUAAACCGCUUUCGCCUGUGACGAAGCGUGAGUGACGGUAAUGGGUAAAGAAGCACCGGCUAACUACGUG
rnacentral:rRNA from 1 species